UGCGACAGAUUUUUCUGUCGCAAUUCUGUCGCAAAACUUGGAUUUUGUCCGUCGCAACUUUGCGACAGAUUAACGACCGGCAAACUUUUGCGACAACAAUAUACGGACAGAAUUGAUUCUGUCGCAAUCUGUCGCAAAUUUGUAAUUGCGACAGAUAUUCUUUUGUAUUUGCGACAGAUUUUUCUGUCGCAAAUUUUAAUGUUUCUUGUAGUGAAAUGAGAUGCAAAUAGAGGGUCUGUUAUUUUGACUCUAUAUGUUACUUGUCCCGAAUCAUAUUCCAAAAAUAUGCAUUCUCAAAUGAGAUGCAAAUAAAUGGUUUGUUCUGUUGGAAAAAAUGUCUAAAUAGACUCUGGAAUAGGAACGCUAUCUGUUACAUGACCCGAUACAAAAUGAAAGAAAUCUGCAUUCUCAAAAGGAGAUGCAAAGUUAGGUCUAUUAUGUUGGGAAUAAUGACUAAAAAGGCUCCGGAAUGGGAACGCUAUGUGUUACAUGUCCCGAAACAAAAUGAAAAAAAUUUGCAUUCUCAAAUGAGAUGCAAAUAGAGGGUCUAUUCUGUUGGGAAUAAUGGCUAAUCAGCCAUGGGAUGGGAACAUUAUCUCUUACAUGACCCGAAACAAAAUGAAAAAAGUUUGCAUUCUCAAAUGAGAUGCAAACAGAGAGUUUGUUCUGUUGGGAAUAACGUCAAAACAUAAUCGAAUGGGAACACUAUAUAUUACUUAUCCUGAAACAUAAUGCAAAAAUCUGCACUUUCAAAUGAGAUGAAAAUAUAGGGUCUGUUCUGUGGGGAAUAAUAGCUAAACAUACCCUGGAAUGGGAAAGCUAUCUAUUACACUUCCUGAAACAUAAUAUAAAAAUUUGCAUCUCAAAUAAGUUGGAAACAUAUGGUUUGUUCUGUCUGGAAUAAUGGGCAAACAGACCUAGAAUUGGAACGUUGUCUGUUAUGUUCUGAAACAUAAUGCAAAAUCUGCAUUCUGAAAUAAGAUACAGAUAUAGAGUCUGUUCUAUUGGGAUAAUGGUUAAACAGAUCCUGGAAUGAGAAUGCUAUCUGUUACGUCUCGAAAUGUAAAAAUCUGUAUUCUCAAAUGAAAUGAAAAUAUAGGAUUUGAUCUGUUCGGAAUAAUGGCUUAACAGUCCAUGGAAAGACCUGCCCCAAAUCAUAAUGCAAAGGUCUGUUGUAUUCUCGGAUAUUAUACAAAUAUAGAGGGUCUGUUAGGAAUUGCAGCAAUACAAGACCCUCUAGAGUUGAAUGAACUCAUUAAGUCUGAACUGGAUAAAAUCUUAAUGAUUGGUUUCUGCAAUUUCUAUGCUUUUGUAUCAGUGUCACAAUUGCUUUGCGCCUUUGUCAGGUUUGGUAAUAUAUCUUUUAGCUCUGUAAUUCCUUCUUUGUAUAAUCAGUGUCUCAGUUUUAAGCUUUCGACUUACAAAGGUAAGUUCUUGGAUCAAACCGUAGAAUUGGUUUCAGAAUUGUGUAAUAGGUUUACUUGCAUACAUCUGUCUUUUAUACUUUGUUCCGUAUAUGAUCAAUGUCUCAGUACUAAGCUUUCUGUUUCAUGUCAAGGAGCUCUUGGUUUAGUUGCAUAUGUCUGUCGUUUAAUCUUCGGCUGACAAAGGUAAGUUCUUGGACUAUACCAUAGCAUUGAUUUCAGAGUUGUACAAUAGCUUAUGCUUUUGUUUAAAAACGUUUUUAUGGUGUGAUGUAAGGUUGAAUUACAAUAAUGACAACUUUCUAUGAAGAGAGAGAUAAACAUGAUAGUGGAGUGCUACUUUGUUGGUGUUAUAGUUCCUUUCUUAUGGAAGAAUGUAUGUAUGUUGAUAUCUUAUUUUUUAUUAUCUUGAGGUUUACCCUAAAUAAACACAAUUGUAUAACAUUCUAAUGUUCUGCAGAUUACAUUUGUUGACGUAGGAUUAUUACUAUAUGACAUAGGUUUGUAAAACUACUUUGUUUCCUUAUAACGUGUCUUACAUUCUCAACUGCUUCGAACAGGGUUUCUGGAAGGAAGAUGUACCAUUAACUGGUUCUUCUCACAUGUUUCUCUUUUCCUUAGCUUGGUAUGCUGUUGACUUUGUUUAAAUUCAUGAGAAGAAUGAUGCAGAAGAAUAUAAGAGUGUUCAAUUAGAUUCUUAGCAAGGAUCCAAACAAAGUCUUUACCCAAUCUCGAUGAGACAAACUUUGGUGUUCAUGUACGAGGAGCAGAUAUGCAAAAUACUCGAAAGGAAAAUAACAAGAUUGAUUUUCUGGAAGCAAAAUGUACACACAAGCCUUGAUCAUUGAGUAGCUCUUCUUAGGUGUUUCCCUUUUCUUUACUGCUCUGUACGUUGUUGGCUUUCUUCAAUUCAUGCGAAUGAUGUAGUAAAAUCUAAGAGUUUUCUUUGAGAUUCUUAGCAAGGAUGUAAACAAGUCUUUAUCUAAUCUGGAUGAGGCGAGCUUCGGAGGCUGUAUUUGUUGCAAGGAGUGGUUAUGCAAAAUGCUCCAAAGGGGAAUAAAAGAUUAUUACAUUUGUUGACGUAGGGUUACUAUGCUACCUGGUUACGCUAUACAGAUUAUGAGACAACAAUAAAGAAAUGAAUGAUCAUUGAUUUGGGAGACAAGUAUGUAAUGCUUUGUUUUGCUGUGUAAAGGUUUUUUUUUUUUCCUUUUGUCAUGUCUUAGUGCUCUGUUCGUUGCUGACUUUGUUAAAUUAAUGAUAAUGCUGCUGGAGAAUUUAAGAGUAUUCAAUGAGAUUCUUAGCAAGGAUUCAAACAUGCCUUUAUCAAAUCUUUACGAUUGUGGGUGUCUAUAUCCUUUUGUUGAUGUUGUAUAAGAGUGUUCAAUGAGAAUGUUGCAGGAGAAUCUAAAAGUGUUCUGUGAGAUUCUAAGGAUCUAAACAAACAAGUCUUUUGUCUUAUCUGGAUGAGGCGUACUUUGGUGGUUGUGUUUUGGUAAGUAAAAAUGCUCAAAAGGGAAGUAAAAAGAUUGCGUGUAUGUAUUCAUUUGUUGAGGUUAUAUUUCCUUUCUCAUGGAAGAGGGGAUAUUUGUUGUGUCUUAUCCGUUGGUUUGUACUUGGAAAACACACCUACGGUGUCCUGCCGAUUACAUUUGUUGUCCUAGGAUUACUAAAUGUCAAGGUUACCAUUCCAUUUUAUGACAACGAGAAGGAAACAAAUGACUAUUGAUUCGGAAGACAGGUAUGUAACUGUUUGUUUUACUGUGUAAAACUACUUUGUUUCUUUUUGUCGUGUCGUGCAUUUUCAACUGUUUUGAACAGAGGUUUCUUGGAGGAAAAUGAACACACGUACUCAGCUCUUCUCCGGUGUUUCUCUUUUCCGUAGUGCGUUAUACGUUCUUGGCUUUGUUAAAUUCAUGAGAAUGUUGCAGGAGAAUCUAAAAGUGUUAUGUGAGAUUCUUAGAAAGGAUCCAAACAAACAAGUCUUUAUCCAAUCUAGACGAGGAUGUGUUUUUGGUACAUAGAGCGGAUAUGCAAAAUGCUAGAAUUUUGGUUCAUUUUGAUGAUGAUUAUGUUUUUGUUGAUGCUACAUACUAUAAGGCGUGUUUGCUGAAUUUGUUUAGGUCAGUCGGCUUGUGGAUGAGCUACUUGCACCAGACAAAUCUCUGAUGGAACCUUUGAACACUGAGCACAUGGAAGAGAUGAUGUAUGAACUCCACAUCUGCAUUAUAAAGCAUCACGUGACCUACAUAGGAUGCAACUAUUUGACUUGUGAUACUAUGUUCAUAGAGCUGAUCAACACAUGAGUAGAAUCGGAAGACAUGACAACAGAUAUUUCAGAAGAUGAAAGUGUAAAUUUUUAAUUUAUUUCACUAAAUUUACUUUGUUUAUUUUGUUUUGAACCCUAACUAUGAUAUGUUUUUCUUUAUUUGGUAGUAGACUAAAUUAUGAACUCUUAUAUUUAGUUUUUUGUUUA